rnacentral:ncRNA from 1 species
UCUGCGGGAGAGUUCGGUUUAUUACCGGCGCCGAAGGAGCAACCGCCCCGGAAACUCUCAGGCAACCGGACCGGGA